GAGAGACAUCUGGUAGUAAACCCUCACUCUGUUGAGUUGUUCUGGCUAAGGUGGGACACACCGAGAGAGACAUCUGGUAGUAAACCCUCACUCUGUUGAGUUGUUCUGGCUAAGGUGGGACACACCGAGAGAGAGACAUCUGGUAGUAAACCCUCACUCUGUUGAGUUGUUCUGGCUAAGGUGGGACACACCGAGAGAGAGACAGCUGGUAGUAAACCCUCACUCUGUUGAGUUGUUCUGGCUAAGGUGGGACACACCGAGAGAGAGUGACAGCUGGUAGUAAACCCUCACUCUGUUGAGUUGUUCUGGCUAAGGUGGGACACACCGAGAGAGAGACAGCUGUUAGUAAACCCUCACUCUGUUGAGUUGUUCUGGCUAAGGUGGGACACACCGAGAGAGAGAGAGACAGCUGGUAGUAAACCCUCACUCUGUUGAGUUGUUCUGGCUAAGGUGGGACACACCGAGAGAGAGAGAAAGCUGGUAGUAAACCCUCACUCUGUUGAGUUGUUCUGGCUAAGGUGGGACACACCGAGAGAGAGUGACAGCUGGUAGUAAACCCUCACUCUGUUGAGUUGUUCUGGCUAAGGUGGGACACACCGAGAGAGAGACAUCUGGUAGUAAACCCUCACUCUGUUGAGUUGUUCUGGCUAAGGUGGGACACACCGAGAGAGAGACAGCUGGUAGUAAACCCUCACUCUGUUGAGUUGUUCUGGCUAAGGUGGGACACACCGAGAGAGAGUGACAGCUGGUAGUAAACCCUCACUCUGUUGAGUUGUUCUGGCUAAGGUGGGACACACCGAGAGAGACAGCUGGUAGUAAACCCUCACUCUGUUGAGUUGUUCUGGCUAAGGUGGGACACACCGAGAGAGAGACAGCUGGUAGUAAACCCUCACUCUGUUGAGUUGUUCUGGCUAAGGUGGGACACACCGAGAGAGAGACAGCUGGUAGUAAACCCUCACUCUGUUGAGUUGUUCUGGCUAAGGUGGGACACACGGAGAGAGAGAGAGACAGCUGGUAGUAAACCCUCACACUGUUGAGUUGUUCUGGCUAAGGUGGGACACACUGAGAGAGAGACAGCUGGUAGUAAACCCUCACUCUGUUGAGUUGUUCUGGCUAAGGUGGGACACACCGAGAGAGAGACAGCUGGUAGUAAACCCUCACUCUGUUGAGUUGUUCUGGCUAAGGUGGGACACACCGAGAGAGAGACAGCUGGUAGUAAACCCUCACUCUGUUGAGUUGUUCUGGCUAAGGUGGGACACACCGAGAGAGACAGCUGGUAGUAAACCCUCACUCUGUUGAGUUGUUCUGGCUAAGGUGGGACACACCGAGAGAGAGACAGCUGGUAGUAAACCCUCACUCUGUUGAGUUGUUCUGGCUAAGGUGGGACACACCGAGAGAGAGACAUCUGGUAGUAAACCCUCACUCUGUUGAGUUGUUCUGGCUAAGGUGGGACACACCGAGAGAGACAGCUGGUAGUAAACCCUCACUCUGUUGAGUUGUUCUGGCUAAGGUGGGACACACCGAGAGAGAGACAGCUGGUAGUAAACCCUCACUCUGUUGAGUUGUUCUGGCUAAGGUGGGACACACGGAGAGAGAGAGAGACAGCUGGUAGUAAACCCUCACACUGUUGAGUUGUUCUGGCUAAGGUGGGACACACCGAGAGAGAGAGACAGCUGGUAGUAAACCCUCACUCUGUUGAGUUGUUCUGGCUAAGGUGGGACACACUGAGAGAGAGAGACAGCUGGUAGUAAACCCUCACUCUGUUGAGUUGUUCUGGCUAAGGUGGGACACACCGAGAGAGAGACAGCUGGUAGUAAACCCUCACUCUGUUGAGUUGUUCUGGCUAAGGUGGGACACACCGAGAGAGAGUGACAGCUGGUAGUAAACCCUCACUCUGUUGAGUUGUUCUGGCUAAGGUGGGACACACCGAGAGAGAGUGACAGCUGGUAGUAAACCCUCACUCUGUUGAGUUGUUCUGGCUAAGGUGGGACACACCGAGAGAGAGUGACAGCUGGUAGUAAACCCUCACUCUGUUGAGUUGUUCUGGCUAAGGUGGGACACACCGAGAGAGAGACAGCUGGUAGUAAACCCUCACUCUGUUGAGUUGUUCUGGCUAAGGUGGGACACACCGAGAGAGAGAGAGACAGCUGGUAGUAAACCCUCACUCUGUUGAGUUGUUCUGGCUAAGGUGGGACACACCGAGAGAGAGAGACAGCUGGUAGUAAACCCUCACUCUGUGAUGUUAAGUUGUUCUGGCUAAGGUGGGACACACCGAGAGAGAGAGACAGCUGGUAGUAAACCCUCACUCUGUUGAGUUGUUCUGGCUAAGGUGGGACACACCGAGAGAGAGAGACAGCUGUUAGUAAACCCUCACUCUGUGAUGUUAAGUUGUUCUGGCUAAGGUGGGACACACGGAGAGAGAGACAGCUGGUAGUAAACCCUCACUCUGUCUGAUGUUGAGUUGUUCUGGCUAAGGUGGGACUCACGCAGAGAGAGACAGCUGGUAGUAAACCCUCACUCUGUUGAGUUGUUCUGGCUAAGGUGGGACGCACCGAGAGAGAGACAUCUGGUAGUAAACCCUCACUCUGUUGAGUUGUUCUGGCUAAGGUGGGACACACAGAGAGAGAGACAUCUGGUAGUAAACCCUCACUCUGUUGAGUUGUUCUGGCUAAGGUGGGACACACCGAGAGAGAGACAUCUGGUAGUAAACCCUCACUCUGUUGAGUUGUUCUGGCUAAGGUGGGACACACCGAGAGAGAGACAGCUGGUAGUAAACCCUCACUCUGUUGAGUUGUUCUGGCUAAGGUGGGACACACUGAGAGAGAGAGAGACAGCUGGUAGUAAACCCUCACACUGUUGAGUUGUUCUGGCUAAGGUGGGACACACUGAGAGAGAGACAGCUGGUAGUAAACCCUCACUCUGUUGAGUUGUUCUGGCUAAGGUGGGACACACCGAGAGAGAGACAGCUGGUAGUAAACCCUCACUCUGUUGAGUUGUUCUGGCUAAGGUGGGACACACCGAGAGAGAGACAGCUGGUAGUAAACCCUCACACUGUUGAGUUGUUCUGGCUAAGGUGGGACACACUGAGAGAGAGAGACAGCUGGUAGUAAACCCUCACUCUGUUGAGUUGUUCUGGCUAAGGUGGGACACACCGAGAGAGAGACAGCUGGUAGUAAACCCUCACUCUGUUGAGUUGUUCUGGCUAAGGUGGGACACACCGAGAGAGACAGCUGGUAGUAAACCCUCACUCUGUUGAGUUGUUCUGGCUAAGGUGGGACACACAGAGAGAGACAGCUGGUAGUAAACCCUCACUCUGUUGAGUUGUUCUGGCUAAGGUGGGACACACCGAGAGAGACAGCUGGUAGUAAACCCUCACUCUGUUGAGUUUUCUGGCUAAGGUGGGACACACCGAGAGAGACAGCUGGUAGUAAACCCUCACUCUGUUGAGUUGUUCUGGCUAAGGUGGGACACACCGAGAGAGAGAGACAGCUGUUAGUAAACCCUCACUCUGUGAUGUUAAGUUGUUCUGGCUAAGGUGGGACACACGGAGAGAGAGACAGCUGGUAGUAAACCCUCACUCUGUCUGAUGUUGAGUUGUUCUGGCUAAGGUGGGACUCACGCAGAGAGAGACAGCUGGUAGUAAACCCUCACUCUGUUGAGUUGUUCUGGCUAAGGUGGGACGCACCGAGAGAGAGACAUCUGGUAGUAAACCCUCACUCUGUUGAGUUGUUCUGGCUAAGGUGGGACACACCGAGAGAGAGACAGCUGGUAGUAAACCCUCACACUGUUGAGUUGUUCUGGCUAAGGUGGGACACACUGAGAGAGAGAGACAGCUGGUAGUAAACCCUCACUCUGUUGAGUUGUUCUGUCUAAGGUGGGACACACCGAGAGAGAGACAGCUGGUAGUAAACCCUCACACUGUUGAGUUGUUCUGGCUAAGGUGGGACACACCGAGAGAGACAGCUGGUAGUAAACCCUCACUCUGUUGAGUUGUUCUGGCUAAGGUGGGACACACAGAGAGAGACAGCUGGUAGUAAACCCUCACUCUGUUGAGUUGUUCUGGCUAAGGUGGGACACACCGAGAGAGACAGCUGGUAGUAAACCCUCACUCUGUUGAGUUUUCUGGCUAAGGUGGGACACACCGAGAGAGACAUCUGGUAGUAAACCCUCACUCUGUUGAGUUGUUCUGGCUAAGGUGGGACACACCGGGAGAGAGACAGCUGGUAGUAAACCCUCACUCUGUUGAGUUGUUCUGGCUAAGGUGGGACACACCGAGAGAGCUGGUAGUAAACCCUCACUCUGUUGAGUUGUUCUGGCUAAGGUGGGACACACGGAGAGACAGCUGGUAGUAAACCCUCACUCUGUUGAGUUGUUCUGGCUAAGGUGGGACACACCGAGAGAGACAGCUGGUAGUAAACCCUCACUCUGUUGAGUUGUUCUGGCUAAGGUGGGACACACCGAGAGAGACAGCUGGUAGUAAACCCUCACUCUGUUGAGUUGUUCUGGCUAAGGUGGGACACACAGAGAGAGAGAGAGACAGCUGGUAGUAAACCCUCACUCUGUUGAGUUGUUCUGGCUAAGGUGGGACACACCGAGAGAGACAGCUGGUAGUAAACCCUCACUCUGUUGAGUUUUCUGGCUAAGGUGGGACACACCGAGAGAGACAGCUGGUAGUAAACCCUCACUCUGUUGAGUUGUUCUGGCUAAGGUGGGACACACAGAGAGAGAGAGAGAGACAGCUGGUAGUAAACCCUCACUCUGUU